AGAGUUUGAUCCUGGCUCAGGACUAACGCUGGCGGCGUGCUUAACACAUGCAAGUCUAACGAGAAAAUGGUAGCAAUAUCAUGAGUAAAGUGGCGAACGGGUGAGUAACACGUAACCAAUCUGCCCUGAAGCGGAGGAAAACUGAGGGAAACCUUAGCUAAUCCCCCAUAAUGUGGUGCCUAUCGCAUGAGAACACCAUUAAAGAUUUAUCACUUCGGGAAGAGGUUGCGUCUGAUUAGCUAGUUGGCGGGGUAAAAGCCCACCAAGGCAACGAUCAGUAGCUGGUCUGAGAGGAUGAUCAGCCACACUGGAACUGAGACACGGUCCAGACUCCUACGGGAGGCAGCAGUGGGGAAUCUUGCGCAAUGGGCGAAAGCCUGACGCAGCGACGCCGCGUGAGUGAUGAAGGCCUUCGGGUUGUAAAGCUCUGUGGGGAGAGACGAAUAAGUGCAGGCUAAUACCCUGCAUGAUGACGGUAUCUCCUUAGCAAGCACCGGCUAACUCUGUGCCAGCAGCCGCGGUAAU
rnacentral:rRNA from 1 species